AAUUUGGACAUAUCCAAUGUGUCUGUGUUGUACAAUGUUGAUGAGCCAACUGCACGGAGCCUUAAUGGAUGCAGGGUUGCUGAUAAAAUUCUCAAGCUUGUUCCAAAUGUUGAGAAUUUCAGGACAACUCUACAAUGUGUGAAGUUUUGGGCUAAUAAACGUGGCAUUUAUUCAAAUAUGAUUUGAUUUCUUGGAGGUAUAAAUUGGGCUCUUCUUGUUGCUCGAGUGUGUCAACUGUAUCCCAAUGCAUCUCCUAGUAUGCUCGUUUCUCGGUUCUACCGGGUUUAUACUCUGUGAAGAUGGUCAAAUCCCUUGAUGCUUUGUGAAAUAGAGGAUUUUGAG